AUUGAACGCUGGCGGCAGGCCUAACACAUGCAAGUCGAACGAGUGGCGGACGGGUGAGUAAUGUCUGGGAAACUGCCCGAUGGAGGGGGAUAACUACUGGAACCGGUCGCUAAUACCGCAUAACAUCGUAUGUGCCCAGAUGGGAUUAGCUAGUAGGUGGGGUAACGGCUCACCUAGGCGACGCUCCCUAGCUGGUCUGAGAGGAUGAUCAGCCACACUGGGACUGAGACACGGUCCAGACUCCUACGGGAGGCAGCAGUGGGGAAUGUUGCACAAUGGGCGCAAGCCUGAUGCAGCCAUGCCGCGUGUAUGAAGAAGGCCUUCGGGUUGUAAAGUACUUUCGGCGGGGAGGCGUUACUCGAAGAAGAAGCACCGGCUAACUCCGUGCCAGCCGCCGCGGUAAUUC
rnacentral:rRNA from 1 species